AUGCUGAAGGACGGGAUGGCCACGGUCUGCCCUGUGGGGGGGAGCAGUUGGGGGUGCCGGGAGGGGGAUUUGGGGUCCCCCCCUGCCUUCUGCCUUUGCCACCCCCUCCCUCUCCUCACCUGUGUGGCGGAUGCUGCCAAGGUGCCUCAGGAUGUUGUCGUAGGCGGGGUGGGGGUCAUCGCCCACCUGGGGGAGCGGGGGGGGGGGUCAGUGAGGGGCUGGGGGAGCCGGGGGGGCUCCGUGGGUGUGGGGUCCGUACCUCCAGGAGGACACCGAGCACGGCCAGCCCGCCGGGGUGCUGCUGCGCCGCGCUGGCGUCGGCAAAACGCUCGGCGUCGAAGUGCACCACGUGCAUCUGCAGCACAGCGGGAACCCCCUGAGCCCCCUGCCCCAGCUCCCAUCCCAGCAUCUCUCGCAGUGCCCAGACCUGCUGCCCGCUCCCGGACCUGCUCCCACUCCCAUUUCCCACCCGUUUUCUUCUGCACCCCAUCCCCUCCCUGCACUCGUUUCCCAUCCCUGGACCCAUUUCCCUCACCACGACCCCUUUUCCAUUCCCUGCAGCAAAUUCCCGCAGUGCAAACCCAUUUUCCACACUGUUCCCAUGCUAUUUCCCACACCGACACCCCUUCCCACAGCCAUUUCCCACACAAUUCCCAUGCCACUUCCUUACCCCAGGCCGGUUCCCGUGCUCCUUUCCCACCCCAUUCCUCAGCCAUUUCCCGCCCCCAGACCCAUUUUCGGAGCUGUUCCGUGGCCGGUGCCCGCCGGUACCUCGGCGGGGGCGCGGUGCCCGUCCAGCAGGUGCUCAGCGCCAGCGGCGUGGCCGGGCCGGCCCCAGUGGAAGUGCAGCUGCACGGCAGCGAAGGUGUGGGGCAGCCCCCGGAGCCGCAGGGACGGCGGCAGCGCCAGCACGGCUACGGGACAGGGGGUCAGCAGGGCUGGGACACCGGGGACUCCCCGGCUCUCCCGCCCGGCGCUCACCGGUGUGGCCGUUGUUGGCGAGGGUCAGGCGAGGGCUCUCGGGGCGCUCGUAGCCCUCGGGCUGCAGCGGCGGCAGGGACGGGUCCGGCUGCGCCCGUGCCGUGGCGAUGUCGAUGGGUGACUGCGCCCGGCCCCCGCACUCCGGGUGUCCCUCGUGCCAGUGCUGCUGCCCGUGGGGCCCUGAGGGGGACCGGAGCCCAGGUGGGACCCCCCCCCCCCCCUCACCCCGGGGGCUGCUUCACCCAGCGGGGCCCCGUGACCCAAAACGCCCUCGGGGCCUCCCGAACCGGGACACGGGUGACAUUUCCGAGGGCCUCGUUAAUCUGCUGGGGACAUUUUUUCCGGCCGGGGGAGCGGGGACAAAGCCGAGCCUGCAGGGCCGGGGGGGCACCCAUGGGUCCCCUGGGCCCGGCAGGAUGGGGCUUAGCGGGAUUUGGCCAGGGCCGGAUCCUAAUUGGAUUUGGCAGCAGGAGCCUUAUGUAA
rnacentral:lncRNA from 1 species